CUCGGGGUUGCGAGCGUUGUCCGGAAUUACUAGGCGUAAAGGGCAGGCAGGCGGAUCCAUAAGUUUAUCGUUUAAGGCGUCGGCUUAACCGGCGUAGGGCGGUAGAUACUGUGGAUCUGGAAUGCGGUUGGGGAAGACAGAAUUCCUGGUGUAGCGGUGGAAUGCGCAGAGAUCAGGAGGAAUACCGAAGGCGAAGGCAGUCUUCCAAGCCGUUAUUGACGCUCAACUGCGAAGGUGUGGGUAUCAAACAGGAUUAGAUACCCUGGUAGUCCCUGA
rnacentral:rRNA from 1 species